CCGGACCCUGCCUCCGCGCCCCACCACACCCACUCCUCCAGCACAGGCCUGGGCUCUGGGCGUUUGUACCCCACCCCGCCCUCCUGUGGAAGCUGACAUUUUACUGAUGGUUUAUCAGUCUGUGUAUCCUGCUGGGAAGUAGAUUGAGAUUUAAGAAAAGCAACUUACCAUUGGAAUGAAUGGGUAUUCCAACCUUAUUAUAUGGACUUGGCUCCUGGUUAUUUGCUAGAGUCACAGAGACUGUGCAUACCAGAUACGGACCAAUAACAGUUUAUUUUCUAAAUAAAGAAGAUGAAGGUGCCAUGUAUUAAAAGUGUACAUUGGAGAACAUAAAUAUUAGUGGAUUUUCUCUUGUGUGUAUGUGCAAUAUUUAUUUUUGAUCCUUUUAAAAUAAAACUUUUGCAAAUACUU